GGGAAGCUCAGCUUCAGCUGUGGCUAGAGAAGACAGGACUCAGGACAAUCUCCACCAUGGCCUGCUUCCCUCUCAUCCUCACCCUCCUCACUCACUGUGCAGGAUCCUGGGCCCAGUCUGUGCUGACUCAACCACCCUCAGCGUCUGGGGCCCCUGGGCAGAGUGUCACCAUCUCUUGUUCUGGAAGCAGUUCCAACAUUGGAAGUAAUAAUGUAUAUUGGUACCAGCAGUUCCCAGGAACGGCCCCCAAACUCCUCAUCUAUUAUAGUAAUCAGCGACCCUCAGGGGUCCCUGACCGAUUCUCUGGCUCCAAGUCUGGCACCUCAGCCUCCCUGGCCAUCACUGGUCUCCAGUCUGAGGAUGAGGCUGAUUAUUACUGUGCAGCAUGGGAUAACAGCCUGAGCAGUCCGUUAUUCGGAGGAGGGACCCGGCUGACCGUCCUAGGUCAGCCCAAGGCUGCCCCCUCGGUCACUCUCUUCCCGCCCUCCUCUGAGGAGCUUCAAGCCAACAAGGCCACACUAGUGUGUCUGAUCAGUGACUUCUACCCGGGAGCCGUGGAAGUGGCCUGGAAGGCAGAUGGCAGCGCUGUCAACGCGGGAGUGGAGACCACCAAACCCUCCAAACAGAGCAACAACAAGUACGCGGCCAGCAGCUACCUGAGCCUGACGUCCGACCAGUGGAAGUCCCACAAGAGCUACAGCUGCCAGGUCACGCACGAAGGGAGCACCGUGGUGAAGACAGUGGCCCCUGCAGAAUGUUCAUAGCUUCCCAACCCUCACCCCACCCACGGGGGCCUGGAGCUGCAGGAUCCCAGGGGAGGGGUCUCUCCUCCCACCCAAGGCAUCCAGCCCUUCUCCCUGCACUCAAUAAACCCUCAAUAAAUAUUCUCAUUGACAAUCAGAAA